rnacentral:rRNA from 1 species
UCCAGUUGGCCGGGGGUGGCUUACACAUGCAAGUCGAACGAUGAACCCACUUCGGUGGGGGAUUAGUGGCGAACGGGUGAGUAACACGUGGGCAAUCUGCCCUGCACUCUGGGACAAGCCCUGGAAACGGGGUCUAAUACCGGAUACGACCACUUCAGGCAUCUGAUGGUGGUGGAAAGCUCCGGCGGUGCAGGAUGAGCCCGCGGCCUAUCAGCUAGUUGGUGAGGUAACGGCUCACCAAGGCGACGACGGGUAGCCGGCCUGAGAGGGCGACCGGCCACACUGGGACUGAGACACGGCCCAGACUCCUACGGGAGGCAGCAGUGGGGAAUAUUGCACAAUGGGCGAAAGCCUGAUGCAGCGACGCCGCGUGAGGGAUGACGGCCUUCGGGUUGUAAACCUCUUUCAGCAGGGAAGAAGCGAAAGUGACGGUACCUGCAGAAGAAGCGCCGGCUAACUACGUGCCAGCAGCCGCGGUAAUACGUAGGGCGCAAGCGUUGUCCGGAAUUAUUGGGCGUAAAGAGCUCGUAGGCGGCCUGUCACGUCGGAUGUGAAAGCCCGGGGCUUAACCCCGGGUCUGCAUUCGAUACGGGCAGGCUAGAGUUCGGUAGGGGGAGAUCGGAAUUCCUGGUGUAGCGGUGAAAUGCGCAGAUAUCAGGAGGAACACCGGUGGGCGAAGGCGG